rnacentral:rRNA from 1 species
CCUACGGGAGGCAGCAGUAGGGAAUAUUGCUCAAUGGGGGAAACCCUGAAGCAGCAACGCCGCGUGGAGGAUGAAGGUUUUCGGAUUGUAAACUCCUUUUGUUAGAGAAGAUAAUGACGGUAUCUAACGAAUAAGCACCGGCUAACUCCGUGCCAGCAGCCGCGGUAAUACGGAGGGUGCAAGCGUUACUCGGAAUCACUGGGCGUAAAGAGCGCGUAGGCGGGAUAGCAAGUCAGAUGUGAAAUCCUAUGGCUUAACCAUAGAACUGCAUUUGAAACUGUUAUUCUAGAGUAUGGGAGAGGUAGGUGGAAUUCUUGGUGUAGCGGUAAAAUGCGUAGAGAUCAAGAGGAAUACUCAUUGCGAAGGCGACCUGCUAGAACAUAACUGACGCUGAUGCGCGAAAGCGUGGGGAGCAAACAGGAUUAGAUACCCCAGUAGUC